CUUGAUGGCUUUUCCUCAAGAAUCUACAGAAAUGACAGAAUAUGGUUUUGAAGAGUAUGGUUGCCUGAGUUAAAAUUGGAGAUUCCGUCUCAUGUACGUUUAAAAAAGUCACGUUUUGUCGCUGUCUCACGGUUAGCUCUGGAAACCCACCAGGUUCUUCUCUCCGAGGUCGUCUCAAUGGUUCACAUGAUUUCAGUGCUAGAACACCACGACCAC